rnacentral:rRNA from 1 species
GACGAACGCUGGCGGCGUGCUUAACACAUGCAAGUCGAACGGUGAAGCUCCAGCUUGCUGGAGUGGAUCAGUGGCGAACGGGUGAGUAACACGUGAGCAACCUGCCCCUGACUCUGGAAUAAGCGCUGGAAACGGCGUCUAAUACUGGAUACGAGAAGAGUCCGCAUGGGCACUUUCUGGAAAGUUUUUCGGUUGGGGAUGGGCUGGCGGCCUAUCAGCUUGUUGGUGAGGUAAUGGCUCACCAAGGCGACGACGGGUAGCCGGCCUGAGAGGGCGACCGGCCACACUGGGACUGAGACACGGCCCAGACUCCUACGGGAGGCAGCAGUGGGGAAUAUUGCACAAUGGGCGAAAGCCUGAUGCAGCGACGCCGCGUGAGGGAUGACGGCCUUCGGGUUGUAAACCUCUUUCAGCAGGGAAGAAGCGAAAGUGACGGUACCUGCAGAAGAAGCACCGGCUAACUACGUG